UGGGCACAAGAUGCUUCCUGAAAGGUGGUUGAUCUCAGUGCAGCUGCAGCAGGCCUGGGCUCGGAGGGGCUCCCUCUUGUCUUGUCCUCCCAGCAAACCAGCUUGGGUCAGCUGCUGCAAGCAGCUCCCCUGUGUUUCUGUCCUGGGAGAAGAGGGACAGCUGGGACCACCACCACCCCCCUCCACCGUGUCCAGGAGAGGACCUGGGCUCCGUAAAGGGUCGAGGGCCCCGGGCCCACCUGCCCCCAGCCCACAGGUGCCGUAAAUAUAGGACCCAGUCCUUGCCCUCUAGGCAGCUGUUGACUAUGUGUGAGGUGGGAGGACCCCCAGUAACCUGGAAGCUCGGGCCUCCUCUUCUCGGGAGUUCCCUGGCUGCUGGUACCAGGGUCCCGGGAACGUGUCUGGGCUGGAGGGGGAAGCUGAGUGUCCCCGGGCCUGGGAGCCUUCGCAGUGGCCUAGCCCAGUCCCUUCAAGGGCCGUCUGAGCGCUGGAACAGGAGCUGAGGGGCACAGAGCAUCAGCUGUCACUCGGCCUUGGGAUACCCCUGCCCUGCCCUGUUCAUCAGUUUGUCUGUCCGUCCUUCCCUGCAAAGACAUGUUUAUGGAGAAAACAGCCCCAGGCCUGCUAUGCCAGAGCUCUGUGAAAGGCUGGGAGAAUGAGGUUGUUUGGUUUUUUGUUUAAAGAAAAAUGAGCAAGGGGGCCGUGGAGACAGGUUGGGGGUUGGAGUAGGGGGCGGGAUAUGUUGUCUCUCGUCCCUCCAGGUGCCGGAGAGCUUCUCCGCUCAGUGGAUGUUUGCUCUUCCAAUGAUUUCUCAGAUGUGAUUCUUUCUAGAGUUGGUCCUGGAUGCCCGCAGUAGUUCACAGAAGAGGCUGCGCCUGGGGGCACCUGAUGGAUGCAACCCAUCCACCUGGAAACUUCAGAACUUACCAUGGGGCUGAGACCAUAGAAGGGGCAGAGGAACAAGCAUUUAUCUCCAAAACCUUGGCUGGUCAGCCGUGCAGGCUCCAGCAGAACACUGAAGAUCCAUCGGGGCUCAGCGCCAGGGCGCCUCCUGAAGACUGAAAAAUGCAUCCAGAACCGCACGUCUUCCUGAAGCUUGAAGCCACCCAUUUGCUUUCUGAUGUGUGGUCACUGGUGCUCAGUUUGUCCCCAAAGGGGAUGUCACCCUAGCUCCAUGAAAAACCGCCAAGACCUUGUUCGGCCUGGCUUCAUGGGCACGUAGCCUGUGCAGUCACCCCAUGCUCUAUGCUCCGCUGCCUCUGUC